rnacentral:misc_RNA from 1 species
AACCACCAUAGGCAUACUGAUUAUAUGAUCUUGAACUCUGUGGUGGGUAGGAGUACCCACCACCAUAGCCACGCGGGGGUGGCUGCUGCUCGCCAUUGCCGGAAUAGUAGUGGACCCUGGCAUUAGUCGCCUCCAGGCGUUGCUCGUGCGAGACAGAUGGUGGAGGUGGCUGGCUGCGAGCGUAGCUGAUGUUAAAGAAGCUCUGGCCAUAUCCGCCUAUGCCAGCAUAGCUUUGGUCAUAGCCGCCAGCGCCGCCACCACUGCCCAUGCCACCAUAGCCCUGGUCAUCAUAGCCGCCGCCGCUGCCGCUGCCACCAUAGCUUUGCCCAUACAUGACACCAUGGCCUGGUUCAUAACCACCGCCGCCGUUCAUGCCAAUACCGCCAUAAUCAGGACCAGGACCCGGACCAGGCCCAGUGGCGUACCCGUAACCGUAUCCAGGACCAUACGGCGGCGGAGCAUACCCUCCGCCGGAGGCAUACGGCUGUCCCAUCUGCGGUGGCGGAGGACCCGGCGCGCCGGUGGAGCGGACGACCUCCGGGCGGCGGCGAGCCGGGUCGGGCUCUUCGUCGGAGUGGAACUUGAUGUGCCCAUCCUCGGAAUCGGAGUCGCCGUCGGAGAACUGGAUAUGCCCGUCGUCGGGGGCGAUGCGGACCUGCUUGGCGACGGGCGGCGCGGCGGCGGCGGCGGAGGAGGACGCCAUCGCGGGCGGCGGCGACGCGGCAGGGAGGCCGUCGCCCUUCCGCUGCUGCGGGAGGCGGAGCGCGGGCUCGGGCGGCGGCGGCGGCAGCGACUGGACCCCGCGGAGGAAGUCGUGCAGCAGGGCGCCGACGGCGCGCAGCGACUCGGCGUAGGCGUGGUGCGCGUCGGCGAGCGUGUAGCGCUGGCGGAUGGCCAGCGCGAGGAGCUCGGAGCGCACCCGGCAGUGGCGCACCGCGUACUCUUCCUCCAUCUUGGACUGGCCGCACCCCAUGGCGACCGACCGGCCUGCCGCCCGAAAGAAAACCGCUUUUUAUUCCUCCCUCUCACAGCAGAAGAGAGCCCAGUCAGAGCGGCGGCGGCGGCAACCGCAUGGCGGAGGGUGGGGCGAAUCUGGCGGGCGGGCGCGGAGACGAGCAGAUCUGGGGUAGCUACCUCCUACUGGCUACAACGGCGGUGGCGGAGGGGACGGGGGGGCUCAGCCGAGAGAUUCUUCGCCUUUUGGCGUGCGUGCCAGCGGGGAGCGGCUCGUCGCGAUGCGCGCGGCGCAGGUCCUCCUUUCUCGGGCCGCGGUGAAAACCCUCCCGCAUGCUCCUCCGCUCUUUCCCACUCCCGCCGCGGUGGGGGUGGGGGGGAGCGCUCUUUCAGUCCGACGAGGGGAAAAUGGCGGUGGCAACUGGCAACGAGCGAAGCGCUGCGAGCGAGCGAGUGUGCGCGCCUACUGAUGACUAGCACGGCUAAUGGCUGGGCUGUGGGCGUUGGUUAUGGAGCACGAGGCAUCGAGGCGCGUCUGAGCUGCUGCCCUUUCGGUGCGGUGGUUUUACCGGAAAAAGGGCCUGGGAAUCAUUUGACGGACGGGGCGGG